rnacentral:rRNA from 2 species
AUUGAACGCUGGCGGCAGGCCUAACACAUGCAAGUCGAGCGGAUGAAGAGAGCUUGCUCUUGGAUUUAGCGGCGGACGGGUGAGUAAUGCCUAGGAAUCUGCCUAGUAGUGGGGGACAACAGUUGGAAACGACUGCUAAUACCGCAUACGUCCUACGGGAGAAAGUGGGGGAUCUUCGGACCUCACGCUAUUAGAUGAGCCUAGGUACGAUUAGCUAGUUGGUGGGGUAAAGGCCUACCAAGGCGACGAUCGUUAACUGGUCUGAGAGGAUGAUCAGUCACACUGGAACUGAGACACGGUCCAGACUCCUACGGGAGGCAGCAGUGGGGAAUAUUGGACAAUGGGGGCAACCCUGAUCCAGCCAUGCCCGGCGUGGUCGGUGAAGAACGGUCUUCGGAUUGUAAGGCACUUUAAGUUGGGAGGAAGGUCAGUAAGUUAAUACCUUACUGUUUUGACCGUUACCAACAGGAUAGGCAACCGGCCUAACUCUGUGCCCAGCAGCCGCGGUAAUACAGAGGGGUGGCGAGGCGUUAAUCGGAUUUACUUGGGCGUAAAGCGGCGGCGUAGGUGGUUGCGUAAGUUGAAGGUGAAAUCCCCGGGCUUAACCCUGGGAACUGCCUCCAAAACUGCGUGGCUAGAGUACGGUAGAGGGUAGUGGAAUUUCCUGUGUAGCGGUGAAAUGCGUAGAUAUAGGAAGGAACACCAGUGGCGAAGGCGACUACCUGGACUGAUACUGACACUGAGGUGCGAAAGCGUGGGGGAGCAAACAGGAUUAGAUACCCUGGGUAGUCCACGCCGUAAACGAUGUCAACUAGCCGUUGGGCUCCUUUGAGAGCUUAGUGGCGCAGCUAACGCAUUAAGUUGACCGGCCUGGGGAGUACGGCCGCAAGGUUAAAACUCAAAUGAAUUGACGGGGGCCCGCACAAGCCGGUGGAGCAUGUGGGUUUAAUUCGAAGCAACGCGAAGAACCCUUACCUUGGCCUUGACAUUGCUGAGGAACUUUUCCAGAGAUGGGAUUGGUGCCUUCCGGGAAACUUCAGACACAGGUGCAUGGCAAUGGCAUGUCGUCAGCUCGUGUUGAUGCGAAUGUGAUGCGGAUUAAAGGUCCCGUAACGAGCGCAACCCUUGUCCUUAGUUACCAGCACGUUAUGGUGGGCACUCUAAGGAGACUGCCGGUGACAAACCGGAGGAAGGUGGGGAUGACGUCAAGUCAUCAUGGCCCUUACGGCCAGGGCUACACACGUGCUACAAUGGUAGGUACAGAGGGUUGCCAAGCCGUGAGGUGGAGCUAAUCUCACAAAACCUAUCGUAGUCCGGAUUGGAGUCUGCAACUCGACUCCAUGAAGUCGGAAUCGCUAGUAAUCGUGAAUCAGAAUGUCACGGUGAAUACGUUCCCGGGCCUUGUACACACCGCCCGUCACACCAUGGGAGUGGGUUGCUCCAGAAGUAGCUAGUCUAACCUUCGGGGGGACGGUUACCACGGAGUGAUUCAUGACUGGGGUG